UCAUAUGGAUGAGCACAGAAAGUGGUUUCUUGAGAUGGAAUCUGCUCCUGGUGAAGAUGUUGUAAA
rnacentral:pre_miRNA from 1 species